GAUGAACGCUGGCGGCGUGCCUAACACAUGCAAGUCGAGCGAACCCUUCGGGGUGAGCGGCGGACGGGUGAGUAACGCGUGGGUAACCUGCCCUAUACACACGGAUAACGUACCGAAAGGUACGCUAAUACGGGAUAAUAUUGUUGGAUGGCAUCUUCUAACAAUCAAAGCUCCGGCGGUAUAGGAUGGACCCGCGUCUGAUUAGCUAGUUGGUGAGGUAAUGGCUCACCAAGGCGACGAUCAGUAGCCGACCUGAGAGGGUGAUCGGCCACACUGGAACUGAGACACGGUCCAGACUCCUACGGGAGGCAGCAGUGGGGAAUAUUGCACAAUGGGCGAAAGCCUGAUGCAGCAAUGCCGCGUGAGCGAUGAAGGUCUUCGGAUCGUAAAGCUCUGUCCUCAAGGAAGAAUCAUGACGGUACUCGGAGAAUAAGAGGUUGCUAACUCUGUGCCAGCAGCCGCCGUAA
rnacentral:rRNA from 1 species